ACACGUGGUGGUGGUGGUGGAAACCACCAUCUUCUCCGGCGAAGCAACCAAUUCUGGCCACCAGUUGCAGAAAAAUAAAACUUAAUGAAAAUUAAAAACAAGGCCAUGGAAAUGAAGCUCGUGUGAUGGAGAUCGUCAUUGUACCAAUGGAUCUCCCUCACUAUUCCUAUAUUGAGAGAAAUGUGAAGGAGAAAAUCAUGGUGUU
rnacentral:lncRNA from 1 species